rnacentral:rRNA from 1 species
UACGUAGGUGGCAAGCGUUGUCCGGAUUUAUUGGGUUUAAAGGGUGCGUAGGCGGUCUUUUAAGUCAGUGCUGAAAUACUCCAGCUUAACUGGAGGGGUGGCAUUGAUACUGGGAGACUUGAGUGUAGUCGAGGUAGGCGGAAUUGACGGUGUAGCGGUGAAAUGCUUAGAUAUCGUCAAGAACACCGAUAGUGAAGACAGCUUACUAGGCUACAACUGACGCUGAGGCACGAAAGUGUGGGGAGCGAACAGG